rnacentral:rRNA from 1 species
CCUACGGGUGGCAGCAGUGAGGAAUAUUGGUCAAUGGCCGGGAGGCUGAACCAGCCAAGUCGCGUGAGGGAAGACGGCCCUACGGGUUGUAAACCUCUUUUGUCAGGGAGCAAGGUGCUGGUCGGGCCCUGCUCUGAGAGUACCUGCAGAACAAGCAUCGGCUAACUCCGUGCCAGCAGCCGCGGUAAUACGGAGGUGCCGAGCGUUAGCCGGAUUUAUUGGGUUUAAAGGGUGCGCAGGGGGGGGCACAAGUCCGCGGUAAAAUCGCGGGGCUCAACCCCGCCCCGCCGUUGAGACUGUUGCCCUGGAGUGCGCGAAGGGUAGGCGGAAUGCGUGGUGUAGCGGUGAAAUGCAUAGAUAUCACGCAGAACUCCGAUCGCGAAGGCAGCCUACCGGCGCGCAACUGACGCUCAUGCACGAAAGCGUGGGUAUCGAACAGGAUUAGAUACCCUUGUAGUC